GCCGAGUUAGCACAGUUGGUAGUGCAACUGAUUUGUAAUCAGUAGGUCGCCAGUUCGAGUCCGGCACUCGGCACCA
rnacentral:tRNA from 2 species